rnacentral:tRNA from 1 species
AAAGAUUUAGUUAAUUAUAACAUUAGAAUGUCAAACUAAAAUUAUUGAAAUAUCUCAGUAAUCUUUG